AUUCUUCUAGUAUAAAAAGUAUAUUUGACUUCCAAUCAAAAGGUCUUAUAAAAGGAAGAAUA
rnacentral:tRNA from 1 species